UUAAAAUUCAACAGGUUUUUAUUUGAAAAUCAAAGUCCUGCUCAUGUUUAUUACCGGUGGAAGCUAUACACCAUAUUGCAGGGCGAAUCUCCAACAAAAUGGAAAACAGAAGACUUCAGAAUAUUUAAGAACGGAUCUAUCUGGCGACCGCCACCUCUUAACCCAUAUUUACAUGGCACUCCUGAAGACGAGGAGCAUGAUGAUGAUGAAGAUGAUGAAACUAGCAAGAAGGGCGCGUUGAAAGACGACGAGAGGGAUAAAUUGGAGGAGUUACUCCGAGGUCUCACGCCAAGGAAGAG